CAGUUCGGAUCGGAGUCUGCAACCCGACUCCGUGAAGCUGGAUUCGCUAGUAAUCGCGCAUCAGCCAUGGCGCGGUGAAUACGUUCCCGGGCCUUGUACACACCGCCCGUCAAGCCAUGGGAGCCGGGGGUGCUUGAAGUGCGUCGCGCAAGGCGCGCCCUAGAGCAAAACCGGUGACUGGGGCUAAGUCGUAACAAGGUAGC
rnacentral:rRNA from 1 species